rnacentral:rRNA from 1 species
UUUUCCUACGGGGGGCAGCAGUGAGGAAUAUUGGUCAAUGGGCGCGAGCCUGAACCAGCCAAGUCGCGUGGGGGAAGACGGUCCUAUGGAUUGUAAACCUCUUUUGUCGGGGAGCAAAAGACGCCACGCGUGGCGUUCCGAGCGUACCCGAAGACAAAGCAUCGGCUAACUCCGUGCCAGCAGCCGCGGUAAUACGGAGGAUGCGAACGUUAUCCGGAUUUAUUGGGUUUAAAGGGAGCGCAGGCGGAAGGUCAAGUCAGCGGUAAAAUUGCGAGGCUCAAACUCUUCGAGCCGUUGAAACUGGG